rnacentral:lncRNA from 1 species
CUUCUCGAGGCCGGUGCUUGACUGGAGGAGGGCUGGCAGCAGAAGUGCAGCUGACCGGGUUGCGUUUUCGUACGGCUGACUAAAGCGGAUACCGGUGGCGACUCAUUUCUCGUUUUAUUUUUCAACGAUUUGGCGGAGAAGCUCCUCUUGUGAAUGGACUUUGGAUUUCUUGGAGCUGCGCUGCGGGUCCCACAGUGUGGCUUUCGGCCCGUGCUGUGCUGGCGCCUGCACUUCCUCUGGCGGGGCACGGGGUGGCGCUCCCUGGUAAAGCAGCGGCCAGGGGGAGCCGUGAGUGAGGCGCUGCCUCUCCCGCUGAAGCGGGUUCCAAGGCCACCGUGAGGGGGACCAUCCAUCCAGGAGAGUACUGGGCAGGCUGCAAAUGUCUGUGUUAAAACAGCUCUGCUGGGCUAAGACAGGACAGAAGCAGACAGCAGGUGGAUGAGACACAAUUUCCUAUCCAGCAGAACCUGCAGCAAGCUCCACAGCACCCUCCAUGGGCUCAGUCUUGCUCCCGGGAAGAUGGUUAAUUCCAUCAGCUCCUUCUGGCCGGCAGCAGGAAGAGUGGCCCUGUGUGUGCCAGGCCCUGCAGUCUCUCCUCUCAGCUGGUGUCUCCAGUGAGGGACCUGAGUCAUCGCACACAUGAGCCUGUGCUCAGCCUGCACAUCUCCCGCCUCCCACCAGCUGCUCCUCAACUGCCAGGGCCAGACUGUGGCAAAAUCUCACUCCUCUGCCGAUGCUGGGGUUUCCCUCGUGUCUGGGAGGUGGUGUGCUUGGUGGCCUGAGCACUGCAGUGAAUCCAUGUUUCCCUCCCAGCACCCUGUUCUGUCCUCCAACUUGGCCGACAGCUCUGGCCAGGGACGCAGCCCAGCUGGUGCCCACCCCGCACUCUGUCCAUUUCAUAAGAGCCCUUGGUUUCCUCACUUCCCUCAGAUUUUGCCAAGAGAAUGGUCCUGGUGUGGCCCAGAAAGGCCAGCGGGGUGCAGCCUGGGACUGAAAGCAGAGGCGGCUCUGGUGGGGAAAAAGUAGCUCUCCCAGCCUAGCCCUACUGGUGGGCGGCACCUCCUGGCUCCAGGCCAUCUUUUGUCCCAGUCCUAGGUAAGAAAAACACAAACAAAAGCCAGUCCCAUGGCACUCGAGAAGCAGGAGGCCGUUCCCUGACAGCAACAUGCUGUGUGCACAGACACACGGGUGGACAGGAGGCAGAGCUCGGGGUUGCUGCGGAGCGGGCAGGACACUGGAGCGGCAGGCAGUGCGGACCCGCCGGGCAGCCGUGCACGGUUGUCGUCCUCAGCGGCAGGAGCCAGUUUGUUGCUCAGGGCCUUGUCUUUUUACAAAGAGCCCCAGGCCCCGGGGGCUUCUCUGGGUGCCUCUUUGCUGCCAUGUCUGCACGCGGGCGGAGAGCAGACCAGGCUACCGACCCUCUCGCUUUGCUGUCUUCACGUGGAAAAGCCAGUGUCGUAGCCCCAAAGGAGGGGAAACUGUAUUGAUUUGGGGAGCCUCUAUGUUGAUUUCAAAACAGAUUGUCUCCUGUGUUCUCAAAGACUGGAAGCGAACCCCACAACCGCCUUAGGCCACAAAAGCUUUAUCCUUUCUAAUUAGCAUCCCUGUGACCUGCUCUGCGCCCUGCAGAUAUUUUGCUCAGCCAGCCAGAAGGAGGGAGGCCAGACACCAGCCCCCACAGACCUGCGGCUGCGACCCCCUGCCUGGGGACGAUGGGGUCGGGGUCCAGUAGCUGCCCCAGAAACAAGUGGGGCUGCAGGAGGCUGAUGGUGAGCUUGGAGGUUGGCAGAAUUCUAAAUCUGGGCACUGCAGGGUCCCCACAGGUCACGACCCUACUCUGCUCCACCCAGGCUCCGGAGGACCUGAGCAGGAACCUCUGCAGGGGGGGCCCGGGGCUCCCUGUCCUCUCAGCAGCCGGCAGUGCUCCCUGACAGCCCGGGCCUCUCCCUCCAGUAGUUCGGUAGUUUGCUGUCACCAACAUGGCUGGGCCUGGGACAGGCUCCUCCUCUCCCUCCAGAAGCCAGGCAGUCCCUCCUGCCUCAGUUUCUCAGACUAGGCCGCCUCUCCCAUCGCGAGACACUGAAGACCCUCAGCUGUUUCCAUCUGCCCAGUCUGACUGCUGGAUCGCCCUCUGUGUGCGUUGGUUUGCUGUGUUCUUGCUACUCGCCCUUGGAUAAGAUUUCUUCUCUACUCAUGAAGCUGCGUGUCCUGGAGGGCAGGGCCGCACCUCACAUGCAUGUUGCCCACAUAGCUCAGCAACAGAUGCUCUCACGCUUGUUAAAAGUAAAACCGGGCCAGGCGCAGUGGCUCACGCCUGUAAUCCCAGCACUUUGGGAGGCCGAGGUGGGUGGAUCACCUGAAGUCAGGAGUUUGAGACUAGCCUGACCAACAUGGAGAAAUCCCGUCUCUACUAAAAAUACAAAAAAUUAGCUGGGCGUGGUGGCACAUGCCUGUAAUCCCAGCUACUCGGAGGCAGGAGAAUUGCUUGAACCCAGGAGGCGGAGGUUGCGGUGAGCCAAGAUCACGCCAUAGCAAUUGCACUCCGGCCUGGGCAACAAGAGCAAAACUCUGUCAAAAAGAAAAAAAAAAAAAAAAAAAAGUAAAACCAAUUAGCCAAUGUAAAGGAGUUUAACUGAGCAAAGAGUGAUUCACAAAUCAGGCAGCCUCCCGACCCAGAGUGGACUCAGAGACUCCAGCACAGCCAUGUGGUGGAAGAAAAUUUAAGACCGAAAAAGGAAAGAGAUGUACAGAAAAUGGAAAUGAGUGCCACCGGGGACAACCAAAUCUGAUCAGAGGCCGCCUGUUUCUGCCUGUGGGUCCUCUACCCAGCUGCAAGAGUGGUUUCUAUACUGAUGUGGACCCCAGCCUGCCUGCUGUGAAGCUGCCUUCAGCACAGAAGGGGAGGUUGGGGCUGGCCUCUGAGGAGUGACCUGGCCGAGCCCACUGUCCACCAAGGCCUCAAUGCCUUCCCUGCCACGUAGGGUCCCCGUUUCUGCCUGGCGGCAUGAGGCUGUGCCGGGCCUGUCAUCGCAGAUCGUGGGCAAGAGCUGCCUCAGGGUGGAAGAGACUGCACAGAGCUGUCCCUGAGUGGCCUCUGGCUAGGACAGGACCUGCAAGGGGAACAGCCUCACUUCCUUCUCCCUGACCAUUCCGUCCAUACUCAAAGCCGACUCCCUUCCUCCCUCUCCAACCCACUAUGUGCUGUGGAUGGGCUGUGGCUUCACUGGGCACCCCCAUCUGCUGCCUCUAUUGUUCCCCAUCCCCAGCCAAGUGGGUCUUGUUUUCCUUCACUGCAGGCAGAACUCGAGCCUGUGCUGUGCCCUGAUGAGUGGCUCCCCUUCUUCCUGGGCCGUUCCAUGGGUGUGCCUUUGCCACGCUCAACCUUCCCACCCCGACGCAACAUUGAUCCCCAAGUCAGGGUGGGCUCGGGACCCCUCAACUUUCCCCUGUGCCCCUGUGCAUUUCAUGGGCAAAUCAAACCUUUUCAAACUCUCGCCUCCACAGGUCCCCAGGGGUGGACACUCCAAGGUCCCCGUUGCUCCUGUCCUCUGCCAGCCGCCUCACCGCCUAAAUCAGUGGCCCAGCCCAGGCCAUUACCACAAGGCUAGCUGGCCUCGAUGUCAGCACCUACCUUUCUGAGGGCGACUUUCUGAGGCUCCAGGCCCCAGCAGGUGGGAUUUCUCUUUCCAUCCGCACCCCGACGGCAUCGUGCUGGCUGUUCAGUGUGGCGGCCGCAGCUGGUGUCCAGCUACAGCCCACGGAGCCAGGGACAAACCUGGGUUUAGUCAGGAUGCCGGUGGGGUUGCCUCGCCUCUGUGCGUGGAGAAGUUACUGCCAGUGUCCCGAUGCGGGAAUCCUUCCAGGAAUGCUCUCACCUGUAAAAAUGUAGAAGUUCAAUAACAAAAUAUGAAACUGCAGGAAAUGGGUUUGAGAUACCUAUACGAUAAAAACAGAUUUAUGUAAAACUUAUUAGAGGAAAAGCUGAAUUAGCUUUCUCUUCUCUUAAUAGAAAAUGAUAUAUCAGCAGGGUGCAUUGGCUCACGCCUGUAAUCCCAGCACUUUGGGAGGCUGAGGCGGGCGGAUCACUUGAGGUCAGGAGUUUGAGACCAGCCUGGCCAACAUGGUGAAAUCCCGUCUCCACUAAAAAUACAAAAAUUAGCUGGGCAUGGUGGCUUUUGCCUGUAAUUCCAGCUACUCGGGAGGCUGAGGCAGGAGACUCACUUGAACCUGGGAGGCGGAAGUUGCAGUGAGACGAGAUUGUGCCACUGCACUCCAGCCUGGGCGAGAGAGCAAGAAUCCAUCUGAAAAAAAAAAAGAAAUGAUAUAUCAAAAUUGUCACACAUAAAAGCAGUCAAAGGUGUGAGAAAGUGUAGAAAAAGAGCUGGAGAAAUGAGGCAGUGUCAGGCAGGUGACUGAAAACACUGAUUUUGGAUUCUGUGAUGUCUGUGGCUUUGCCCGAUUUUUCAAGUAUGUAAUUUGCUUCCAUCUCCCUUCUCCUUUCGAAUGUGCGUGGAGGGACUCCUUUUCUUGAAUAACUCCCCCCCACCAACCAAUCCCAUUAUAAAACCACCAGGCUUCGCAAGGCCUAGUUCUGCCCCCAUCUUUAUCUCACUUUAGAAGACUUCCCCUGCUCUUGGCUUGAACAAUGACGUCUUUUUCUGGGCUCACAAAUCUAUUUCUGGAAUAAACUUCUCCCUGGUGAUUUGUCCUUUAUUUCCCACUUUCUAGGUUCUCAUUCUAAUAAUUUAAUAGGGUUAUGUUGAUGGUUAAUGGUGACAUUUGGCCACGGAGGAAUACUGAUAUUUUAAACAGAGAUUCAGCAACAUUCAUAGAAUAUUUUACCCAACAAAUUUGGAAGCAUCUUCACAAACAUUAGCUUUGAGAAAUGUUUUCUAAAUUUGAUUCUUAGCCAAG